rnacentral:misc_RNA from 1 species
GUUUUAUAGAUUCAGAAUGUGGAUGAGGCAAUGGCGCUGAGCGAUAAAGGUGUCGCCAUGCCGUUCUUCGUCAAUAACGUUGACGUCACGGUUGCAGCUAACACUGUAAACGGCCUGACGUCUGCUCUGCUCUCUGGCCUGUUUAAGCCAUCUGAUUUUGACAGUGAUAUCCAGCAUAUUUACAAAGAUACAGUGGAUCUGAUCAUCUACGAAAUCACGGGAAACUUCUCGUCUCGGCGAGACUUGGCUCUGACGUAUUAUCCGUCCAAACUAGAGUGUUUUUGGUUCACGUCCAGAACAUUGACCAUUCUACGAGAUUUCUACAAAAAGGCACCUCUACCUCUCAAGAUGCUAGAGGAUGUGUUGCAAAAGCUAGAGGGUGCUAUGAGGAACAAAGUAACUGCGGACAUUUUACAAGAAGCCAUUAAGUCGGCAGAUGGAGGAAUAUAUUUUGACGACUUUUUGGGAGACGGGGAUUUUGACAUAAAAGGAAAUGCUAUUGUAAGGAUUAUAGUCCUUUCGAAAUUGCUAAAUUGGAUUUCAUUUUGAAACAACAUUGAUAAAACAGAUAGAAAAUUCGUUUAAUCAUCUUGGAUUUUUCCCCCAGAAAUAUGCAGAAGAUAGGCUGUUUACGACAUCAAUGGCCGUUAACACACUUAUAAAUAUCUGGACGUCAACAGAGGGCGAUACACUUGCUUUCUUGAAUAACACACCCAGCUCGGUAAACGAAACAAUUCAACAAAGCGUGAAAUGGCUGAACGAUAACAUUCUUGGUACACAUCUCAAGCCCUGGAACGCUUUCUUCUCGGGUUCCGGGAAGGGACAAGCGAGUUUGCCAUUUUGGUAUCCAGCCAACCGGAAGGAAUAUCUAAACGGAACCAGUUUCAAUGACGACAUGUUCCCAGACGGACUCUUCCUGGUCGGAUUCGAGGGGACCUUGUCAGAUGAACAAUAUAACAUCCUGCUUUCCCAAAGACACUUUGGCGAGAAAACCCCCAUAGAUUUUCCCGGGUUUAACCCCCGAGGUUCUCCCACAGGGUUUUUCCCUUUUUGGUCCUCUGACGCUUAUACAUAUUCUACCACGAUGCUGGCUUUCGCAAAAUAUCUUAAAAUUAAAUAAAAUUUUGUAUAUUGUAAAAUUUUACAUGUAUGAUAUUAAUGCUUCUUUGUAGUUUAUUUGAAAAUUCACUCCUAGAUUUAUGCAAUCGCUUGCUACAGGUGUAUAUAAUUAUGGUUCUUUGAAUAAAUAAGGAGAUUGUU